rnacentral:rRNA from 1 species
AGUGAACGCUGGCGGUAGGCCUAACACAUGCAAGUCGAACGGCAGCACAGUAAGAGCUUGCUCUUACGGGUGGCGAGUGGCGGACGGGUGAGGAAUACAUCGGAAUCUACUUUUUCGUGGGGGAUAACGUAGGGAAACUUACGCUAAUACCGCAUACGAACUACGGGUGAAAGCAGGGGAUCUUCGGACCUUGCGCGAUUGAAUGAGCCGAUGUCGGAUUAGCUAGUUGGCGGGGUAAAGGCCCACCAAGGCGACGAUCCGUAGCUGGUCUGAGAGGAUGAUCAGCCACACUGGAACUGAGACACGGUCCAGACUCCUACGGGAGGCAGCAGUGGGGAAUAUUGGACAAUGGGCGCAAGCCUGAUCCAGCCAUACCGCGUGGGUGAAGAAGGCCUUCGGGUUGUAAAGCCCUUUUGUUGGGAAAGAAAAGCAGCAGGUUAAUACCCCGCUGUUCUGACGGUACCCAAAGAAUAAGCACCGGCUAACUUCGUG